GGUUGCCACUGCGACAGAGGGUGUUUAGCACCCGAGACCAUAUGGCUCUGUUGUGUAGAAUUUGUAAGGGUAGUCUUUUUUGUAGAAGCAGUAGUUUAGCCAUAUGUGUCCUGUCAAGGACGAUUUUCGGGUUGGGUGUUUCGAUAUAAAUGAGGCCGCUUUUAAAGUUCUCUGACGAAAUGAUUUUGGAUUGGAAGUUAUCGGAUGGGGGAGUAAGGUGGAGAGUGAUUUGGAGUGCCUGGGAAGAGGUGUUUGAAGGGAUUUUGGCAGAUUUGUGACAAUAUUUUAGGGUAUUUUGAUUCGUUUUGAGAUUGGCAAGUGAAGUUGGAGUUAUGAGAGACAGACGAAAUUCCAGGAAGUGCUAUGGAUAUUGUUGUCACUGACGACAAUACAACCGUAUUGCAGCCUGAAUCCAGC